UACGUAGGGCGCAAGCGUUGUCCGGAAUUAUUGGGCGUAAAGAGCUCGUAGGCGGUUUGUCGCGUCUGCUGUGAAAACCUAAGGCUCAACCUUGGGCUUGCAGUGGGUACGGGCAGACUAGAGUGCGGUAGGGGUGACUGGAAUUCCUGGUGUAGCGGUGGAAUGCGCAGAUAUCAGGAGGAACACCGGUGGCGAAGGCGG
rnacentral:rRNA from 1 species